CAACACGUCAAAAGUUGAUUUCCUUAGAAAACUAGAGCUUUUACCAGUUCCACUUAGGAAAAAACAAGACCAUCCAUCCAGAUUUGUUACACCGGAACGACAAACUCAUACACUAAAACAACGAAAAUGCAAGACUGACAAAAUUCUUUUUUAAGUUUAAGACUAUGAACUAAACUAUUCCUACAUUCUUCACGUGUUGAGAAACAUACCACAACAACGUGUUGUUUCCGGGAAAAAGGAACAUAUCUUAGGACACUAUCUAUAGCUCAUCCUUGAGUUCAGACUCUUCCGAUGCAGACUCCUCUUCUGCCUUGGUUUCAGUCUCAGGUUCUUCAGCUUCGUCUUCUUCUUCCUCAACUGUUGCAUCAGGGCUAAUGUUUAGACUGCUCUUAACUGAGCUGUAGAUGUGGGAGGCAAAAUCCUUUGGAUCACUCAGAUCGAAGCCACUCUCCAUUAAAGCUGUUUGGUAUAUAAGUUUUGCUGUCAGCUUCACACUCUCGUCCUCUGGGUCUGUUACUACUCUCUCCCGAAGUGCCUUGAUAAUUGGGUGCCUAGGAUUGAUUUCAAGCACCCUUUUACCACGCAUGUAUGCUUGCUUGCUUGCAUCUGACAGGGUUUGUGAAUGCAUUAUUUUCUCCAUAUAUGCACUCCAUCCGUAUUUUGAUGUUACCACAACACAAGGGGUGUCGGCCAAACGGCUGCUUAUCUUGACAUCUUCAACGUUGUCACUAGCAAGAGUAGUCUUCCACCACUUAGUUAGCCCCUUGAAUGACUCCUUGAGCUCUUUCGUUUUCGAAUCCUUAAGCUUUAAUCCCUCUUUAGACACAUUCUGGAACUUUUUGUCCUCAUAGUCCAUAAGAUAUUGCAUGAGGUAUUCAUCUACUGGAUCAGUGAAGAAUAUGACCUCAUAGUCUUUCUUAUUAAGUCUUUCUAGGAAGGGAGAUUUCUCCAACUGUUCUUUGCUGGCACCGGUGAUGUAGAAGAUAUCCUUUUGACUUGAUUUCAUUCUUGAGAUGUAUUGGUCAAGUGAAGUUAAUUUUCCAUCUGAUUUGGUGGUCUCAAAUCGAAGAAGUUUAGCUAAGCGGUUUCUGUUAGUUGCGUCUUCUAUAAUACCAAGCUUAAUCGACUUUCCAAAUUCAUUCCAGAAUUUGGCAUAUUGACCUUUCUUCUCAUUUUCAUCACUGGACUCUUCAACAUCUCUCUUCUCCUUGUCAUUAGUUUCAUCCGGAUCCUCUUCGGCAAGUUUGCGGAUCAUGUCAAGGGCCUUACGGAUGAGUUUUUUCUUAAUUGUCUUCAAACUGCUGUGCUGCUGAAGCAUUUCUCUUGAGACAUUGAGGGGUAAGGUGUCAGAAUCAACAAGACCCAUUAGGAAAUUCAAGUACUUGGGCAACAAUUCAUUAAAUUCAUCUGAGAUGAAAACCCGUCUGACAUAUAACUUCAAGUUGGAUUGCUUUGUGUUGUAAUAGCUCUCAUACAAAUCAUGAGGGGCUUUAGGAGGGAUGAAUAGAACAGCCUUGAACUCUACAUCACCUUCAGCAUUGAAGUGACUCCACGCCAUGGGUUUAUCUUCACUGAAGUCCUUUGCCAGAGAGUGAUAGAACUUAUUAUAUUCUUCAUCUGUAACUUCCUUUGGGCUUCGAAGCCAUAUAGCUUUCAUGUCAUUUAAAAGCUCCCACUCAUAGGUGGUUUCCUUCACUGUCUUAGUUUUAGGCUUCUUCUCAUCUUCGGCCUUCUCUGCAUCUUCUUCUUCUCCCUCUUCCUCAGAGGAAGUGCUUUCAGAUGUUUCCUCUUCAUCAACUGACUCGUCCUCAUCAGCAGGAACUUCCUUCUCAACCUCUUUGCUUGCCCAUAAAUUUAUAGGGAAGUUGAUGAAUUCAGAA
rnacentral:misc_RNA from 1 species